rnacentral:rRNA from 1 species
UAUUUAUUAGAUAACAGACCAAUAUUCCUCGUGUCUAUUGUGGUGACUCAUAGUAACUGAUCGGAUCGCAUGGCCUUGUGCCGCGACUAACCAUUCAAGUUUCUGACCCAUCAGCUUUCGAUGGUAGUGUAUUGGACUACCAUGGCUUUCACGGGUAACGGAGGAUUAGGGUUCGAUUCCGGAGAGGGAGCCUGAGAAACGGCUACCACAUCUAAGGAAGGCAGCAGGCGCGUAAAUUACCCAAUCCUGACUCAGGGAGGCAGUGACAAGAAAUAACGGGUCGGGGCAUUCGCCUCGGGAUUGCAAUGAAUCGAAUUUACACCCCUUAAUGAGGAUCAAUUGGAGGGCAAGUCUGGUGCCAGCAGCCGCGGUAAUUCCAGCUCCAAUAGCGUAUAUUAAAGUUGUUGCAGUUAAAAAGCUCGUAGUUUGAUUUCUGGACGGGCGCCAACACCCGCUUGUUUAGUGUGGAGGCGGCGCCCGCCCAUCCUUCUGUUAACGCCACCGGCAUUCGUUUGCUGGCGGCGGGCUCAGAUAUUUUACCUUGAGAAAAUUAGAGUGUUUCAGGCAGGCUUGCGC